rnacentral:rRNA from 1 species
UACGAAGGGGGCUAGCGUUGUUCGGAAUUACUGGGCGUAAAGCGCGCGCAGGCGGUUCUCCAAGUCAGUGGUGAAAUCUCCGGGCUUAACCCGGAAACUGCCAUUGAUACUAUAGGUCUUGAAUAUCCUGGAGGUGAGCGGAAUAUGUCAUGUAGCGGUGAAAUGCUUAGAUAUGACAUAGAACACCAAUUGCGAAGGCAGCUCACUACGGGAUUAUUGACACUGAGGCACGAAAGCGUGGGGAUCAAACAGG